GAGGACCCCUAAACUCUGUUUCUAUAUGUAACUUCUGAGUAAAACCAUAAAUAAAUCAAAACUUUCAACAACGGAUCUCUUGGUUCUGGCAUCGAUGAAGAACGCAGCAAAAUGCGAUAAGUAAUGUGAAUUGCAGAAUUCAGUGAAUCAUCGAAUCUUUGAACGCACAUUGCGCCCGCCAGUAUUCUGGCGGGCAUGCCUGUUCGAGCGUCAUUUCAACCCUCAAGCACAGCUUGGUGUUGGGACUCGCGUUAAUUCGCGUUCCUCAAAUUGAUUGGCGGUCACGUCGAGCUUCCAUAGCGUAGUAGUAAAACCCUCGUUACUGGUAAUCGUCGCGGCCACGCCGUUAAACCCCAACUUCUGAAUGUUGACCUCGGAUCAGGUAGGAAUACCCGCUGAACUUAAGCAUAUCAAUAAGCGGAGGA
rnacentral:rRNA from 1 species